UUCAAUUGCAUAGAUAAUGAAUAGUCGUAUAUUUGCAGUGAACUUUUUAGUCGACUUAUGUGAUCAAGUUCUUGAGAUGAGAUAGUGAUUAUGUUAUAGACUUUGCCUGAUUAAUCUUCAUCUCCUUUGAUCUUUCUUGGGUAGUUCUUAUGAUCUUAUCAAACCUCUGGGUUUACAAUGUUCUCAUCCUCGCUCGAUUUACCCGUCCCUGUCUCAUUUGUCUGUUGGUUAAAUUUGCUUCACAUUUUAAUUGCAUUACGGAUUACAGGUUGCUGACUACUAUGGAGAUAAACUCCAUUUUGCUUAGGCUAAAGAGAUCGCAUGAAAGACGAGUUAUGCAAAAGGAGCACAUGAGAGGUUAGGCAGGUCCAGUGGUAGAUAAUCUUCUCUAGCUAUUUUUUCAAAGUCGGUGGUGAGAUUGGAGGAGAAUGGUUACCUUAAUCAUUAUAAAGGUGAUGUUUGUGAGUUAUUUGUGCUUCUUGCAAUGGCUGCCCUCAAACCAGUGAACUCCAAGUAAAUUCUCUGAUUUGACUUAAUGUGCUUCUUGCAAUGGCUGCCCUCAAACACAAGAGGAAGCUAAGUAACAACGACACCAAUCUCAUUUUCUGACUAAAGAUGCAGGUGGGGUGUUCAGUCCUCUAAUUCAGGUUGUUCUGCUAAGAACAACAUUUGCGCUUACACGUUUCAGUAUGUGGAUGGAAGUGGCACCUCAGGGUUCUUCUUCUCUGAUUUCUUGCAGUUUGACAUACGUUUGAUUACUAUGACUCUUGGCCAGACAUAUUGUCUCAUUCUUGAUUAAGUGCUCUGCUUUUCACUGUUAUCUUCUUGCAUCGCUAAGACAAUGAUGAGCCCAAGGCUCAAGCUUUUUACCAAUGUCACCUUCCCACUUGGCUCAAAGAAUUUUUUUUUAAUAUACAUGUGGUCUAUGGAUUUAGAUU